rnacentral:rRNA from 1 species
UACGUAGGGUGCAAGCGUUGUCCGGAAUUAUUGGGCGUAAAGAGCUCGUAGGCGGUUUGUUGCGUCGGCUGUGAAAUCCCGAGGCUCAACCUCGGGUCUGCAGUCGAUACGAGCAAACUAGAGUGUUGCAGGGGAGACUGGAAUUCCUGGUGUAGCGGUGAAAUGCGCAGAUAUCAGGAGGAACACCGGUGGCGAAGGCGGUGGUCUGGGCCGGCACUGACGCUGAGGAGCGAAAGCGUGGGUAGCAAACAGG